GGAAGGGCGGCGAGUUUCUACGAAGAUACCCUUUCUAAGCCAAUCACCCGACUGUACUCAGAGACCAAAUUCAUCAGAGCUGCUUGCCUUUUCAAAGUCAAUUAAAUCCAAAUUUUCAGCAGCCUCAGCCAGGUAAACAUAUACAAGGAUUCAAUUUCAAAAGGUACCCAAGGUUUUAGGGAAAAGCUUCUUGCGCGCAAUAGCUCUGUUAAGGAGCUGAGUAAAGGAGUUCAGCGAGAGAUGACCUCUAGCAUAGCUGGUGUUGCACGAAUGAUUGAGCG